rnacentral:pre_miRNA from 1 species
AAUAAGAUUAUUUUUCAGUUUUUUGAGACAAUGUUUUGACUCUUCGUUUUAUUUGAAAUUUUUUGCGAUUAAUAUUUUCUUUACUAGAUGAUAAAACAUGAAUAAUACUUUAUAUGUGACUAUUUUUUUAAAAUUUUUUACAAAUUUUUCAAAUAAGAUGAAUGGUUAAACAUUAGACACAAAAAA